rnacentral:rRNA from 1 species
AUUGAACGCUGGCGGCAGGCCUAACACAUGCAAGUCGAACGAGUGGCGGACGGGUGAGUAAUGUCUGGGAAAGUGCCUGAUGGAGGGGGAUAAGUACUGGAAACGGUAGCUAAUACCGCAUACCAUCGGAUGUGCCCAGAUGGGAUUAGCUAGUAGGUGGGGUAAAGGCACACCUAGGCGACGAUCCCUAGCUGGUCUGAGAGGAUGACAAACCACACUGAAACUGAGCCACGGUACAGCGUCCUACGGGAGGGAGCAGUGGGGAAUAUUGCACAAAGGGCGCAAGCCUGAUGCAGCCAUGCCGCGUGUAUGAAGAAGGCCUUCGGGUUGUAGAGGAAUUUCAGCGGGGAGGCGUUACCCGCAGAAGGAGCACCGGCUAACUCCGUGCCAGCAGCCGCGGUAAUUC